rnacentral:rRNA from 1 species
AUUGAACGCUGGCGGCAUGCCUUACACAUGCAAGUCGAACGGCAGCACGGGUGCUUGCACCUGGUGGCGAGUGGCGAACGGGUGAGUAAUACAUCGGAACAUGUCCUGUAGUGGGGGAUAGCCCGGCGAAAGCCGGAUUAAUACCGCAUACGAUCUACGGAUGAAAGCGGGGGACCUUCGGGCCUCGCGCUAUAGGGUUGGCCGAUGGCUGAUUAGCUAGUUGGUGGGGUAAAGGCCUACCAAGGCGACGAUCAGUAGCUGUCUGAGAGGACGACCAGCCACACUGGGACUGAGACACGGCCCAGACUCCUACGGGAGGCAGCAGUGGGGAAUUUUGGACAAUGGGCGAAAGCCUGAUCCAGCAAUGCCGCGUGUGUGAAGAAGGCCUUCGGGUUGUAAAGCACUUUUGUCCGGAAAGAAAUCCUUGGCCCUAAUACGGUCGGGGGAUGACGGUACCGGAAGAAUAAGCACCGGCUAACUACGUG